rnacentral:rRNA from 1 species
UACGUAGGGUGCGAGCGUUAAUCGGAAUUACUGGGCGUAAAGCGUGCGCAGCCGGUUCGCUGUGUCCGAUGUGAAAGCCCCGGGCUUAACCUGGGAAUGGCAUUGGAAACUGGCGGGCUUGAGUGCGGCAGAGGGGGGUGGAAUUCCGCGUGUAGCAGUGAAAUGCGUAGAGAUGCGGAGGAACACCGAUGGCGAAGGCAGCCCCCUGGGCUAGCACUGACGCUCAGGCACGAAAGCGUGGGGAGCAAACAGG